GACGAACGCUGGCGGCAUGCCUAAUACAUGCAAGUCGAGCGAACAGAUGGAGUGCUUGCACUUCUGACGUUAGCGGCGAACGGGUGAGUAACACGUAAGGAAUCUACCUAUAAGCGGGGGAUAACAUUCGGAAACGGGUGCUAAUACCGCAUAAUAUCUUCCUCCGCAUGGAAGAAGAUUGAAAGACGGCUCUGCUGUCACUUAUAGAUGACCUUGCGGUGCAUUAGUUAGUUGGUGGGGUAACGGCCUACCAAGACGAUGAUGCAUAGCCGACCUGAGAGGGUGAUCGGCCACAUUGGGACUGAGCCACGGCCCAAACUCCUACGGGAGGCAGCAGUAGGGAAUCUUCCGCAAUGGGCGAAAGCCUGACGGAGCAAUGCCGCGUGAGUGAAGAAGGCCUUCGGGUCGUAAAACUCUGUUAUAAGAGAAGAACAAAUUGUAGAGUAACUGCUACAGUCUUGACGGUAUCUUAUCAGAAAGCCACGGCUAACUACGUGCCAGCAGCCGCCGUAA
rnacentral:rRNA from 1 species